rnacentral:rRNA from 1 species
GACGAACGCUGGCGGCGUGCUUAACACAUGCAAGUCGAACGGAAAGGCCUGCUUUCCCUUGUGGAUUGCGGGUACUCGCGUGGCGAACGGGUGAGUAACACGUGAGUGAUCUGCCCCCAACUUGGGUAUAAGCCUGGGAAACUGGGUCUAAUUCCCGAUAGGACUGCAGGGUGGUGCCUGUGGUGGAAAACGAUUUUCUAGUGGUUGGGGAUGAGCUCGCGGCCUAUCAGCUUGUUGGUGGGGUAAUGGCCUACCAAGGCGGCGACGGGUAGCCGGCCUGGGAGGGUGGACGGGCACAGUGGGACUGAGAUACGGCCCAGACUCCUACGGGAGGCAGCAGUGGGGAGUAUUGCACAAUGGGCGGAAGCCUGAGGCAGCGACGCCGCGGGGGGGAUGACGGCCUUCGGGUUGUAAACUCCUUUCGACCGCGAGGAAGCCACCUGGUUGGAAGGGUGGUGACGGUAGUGGUAGAAGAAGCACCGGCUAACUACGUG